rnacentral:rRNA from 1 species
UACGGGGGGGGUAAGCGUUGUUCGGAAUUACUGGGCGUAAAGGGCUCGUAGGCGGCCAACUAAGUCGGACGUGAAAACCUGCAGCUCAACUGCAGGCUUGCGGUCGAUACGGGCAGGCUGGAGUUCGGUAGGGGAGACUGGAAUUCCUGGUGUAGCGGUGAAAUGCGCAGAUAUCAGGAGGAACACCGAUGGCGAAGGCAGCUCACUGGGACGGUACUGACGCUGAGACGCGAAAGCGUGGGGAGCAAACAGG